CCAAAUGAGCCAUCCAAGCGACCCUCCUCUGACCAAUAAUGAAGUGAAAUUCCAAAAUUCCAAGAUUUUAUGUUUGCAUAUUCCACAUUUAUAAUAAAAGUAGACCACCAUUAAGUAAACUGACAUCAGAACACUGACACAAAAUGGGAUGGUACUUCUUCCUACAUCUGUCUACAUCUACCAGUUUUGGCAAACUGGACCUCAAAAGAGGGACUAGACCUCAAAAAGAAGAAGAAGGAGAAGAAGGAGAAGAAGGAAGGAGAAGAGAAGAGGAAGGAGAAGAAGGAGAAGAAGAAGAAGAAGAAGAAAAGAAAGAAGAGAAGAAGAAAAAGAGAAGAGGAGAAGGAGAAGAAAGACCAGGAAAAACCAUGGAUGCAUGCAGAUUUAUCAUCAUGGG